rnacentral:rRNA from 1 species
AGGGUUUGAUCCUGGCUCAGGACGAACGCUGGCGGCGUGCUUUAUACAUGCAAGUCAAGGAGAACGUUUUCUUCGGAAAAUCAUUAAACUGGCGAACGGGUGAGUAACGCGUAGGCAACCUGCCCUAGAGAUUGGGAUAACAUCGGGAAACCGGUGCUAAUACCGAAUAAUGCAGCGGAUCCUUCGGGAUACAGUUGUUAAAGCGGGCUUCGGCUCGCACUUUAGGAUGGGCCUGCGUCCGAUUAGCUUGUUGGUAAGGUAACGGCUUACCAAGGCAAUGAUCGGUAGCUGGUCUGAGAGGAUGAUCAGCCACACUGGGAUUGAGAUACGGCCCAGACUCCUACGGGAGGCAGCAGUAGGGAAUUUUGCGCAAUGGGGGAAACCCUGACGCAGCAACGCCGCGUGACCGAUGAAGCUUCUAGGAGCGUAAAGGUCUGUCGUAAGGGAAGAAAAGUUUAGAUGUAAAUAAUGUUUGAACCUGACAGUACCUUACAAGAAAGCACCGGCUAACUUCGUGCCAGCAGCCGCGGUAAUACGAGGGGUGCAAGCGUUGUCCGGAAUCACUGGGCGUAAAGGGUCCGUAGGCGUCUUAAAAAGUCAUUUGUUAAAUACACCGGCUUAACCGGUGACCUGCAUUUGAAACUAUUGAGAUAGAGUAUAGGAGAGGAAAGCGGAAUUCCUGGUGUAGCGGUGACAUGCGUAGAUAUCAGGAGGAACACCAAUGGCGAAGGCAGCUUUCUGGCCUAUCACUGACGCUGAGGGACGAAAGCGUGGGGAGCGAACAGGAUUAGAUACCCUGGUAGUCCACGCCGUAAACGAUGAGUACUUGGUGUCGG